UCGUCAGCUCGUGUUGUGAAAUAGUUGGGUUAAGGUACCCGCAACGAGCGCAACCCUUAUCCUUUGUUGCCAGCGGUCCGGCCGGGAACUCAAAGGAGACUGCCAGUGAUAAACUGGAGGAAGGUGGGAUGACGUCAAGUCAUCAUGGCCCUUACGACCAGGGCUACACACGUGCUACAAUGGCGCAUACAAAGAGAAGCGACCUCGCGAGAGCAAGCGGACCUCAUAAAGUGCGUCGUAGUCCGGAUUGGAGUCUGCAACUCGACUCCAUGAAGUCGGAAUCGCUAGUAAUCGUGGAUCAGAAUGCCACGGUGAAUACGUUCCCGGGCCUU
rnacentral:rRNA from 1 species